UGAGGUUCAUUUGGGGCACUUCCGGUUUAAUUUAGUGCACUUCCGGUUUAGCUGAGGUCACUUCCGGUUUAUUUGGGGUCACUUUCGGUUUAAAGAGGUAACUUCCGGUUUAAAGAGGUCACUUCCGGUUUGAUUUGGGGCACUUCCGGUUCAUUCUGGGUUCAUUGGGGCACUUCAGGGUUAAUCCAAGAUGGCCGCCACACUGGAAGUGGGGGUCAAGGGUUGAAUUGUGUAAGCAUAGUGGAAGUGGGGGUGAAGGGGGUGAAUAUGGUAAGGAUGAGGUGAACAAAGUGAAUAAAGUUGGAAUGGGUUGAAUCGGUUGAAAAAUAGAAAUUACA